AGAGUUUGAUCCUGGCUCAGGAUGAACGCUAGCGACAGGCUUAACACAUGCAAGUCGAGGGGCAGCACAGGUAGCAAUACCGGGUGGCGACCGGCGCACGGGUGAGUAACGCGUAUGCAACUUACCUAUCAGAGGGGGAUAACCCGGCGAAAGUCGGACUAAUACCGCAUGAAGCAGGGGCCCCGCAUGGGGAUAUUUGCUAAAGAUUCAUCGCUGAUAGAUAGGCAUGCGUUCCAUUAGGCAGUUGGCGGGGUAACGGCCCACCAAACCGACGAUGGAUAGGGGUUCUGAGAGGAAGGUCCCCCACAUUGGUACUGAGACACGGACCAAACUCCUACGGGAGGCAGCAGUGAGGAAUAUUGGUCAAUGGCCGAGAGGCUGAACCAGCCAAGUCGCGUGAGGGAUGAAGGUUCUAUGGAUCGUAAACCUCUUUUAUAAGGGAAUAAAGUGCGGGACGUGUCCCGUUUUGUAUGUACCUUAUGAAUAAGGAUCGGCUAACUCCGUGCCAGCAGCCGCGGUAAUACGGAGGAUCCGAGCGUUAUCCGGAUUUAUUGGGUUUAAAGGGUGCGUAGGCGGCCUUUUAAGUCAGCGGUGAAAGUCUGUGGCUCAACCAUAGAAUUGCCGUUGAAACUGGGGGGCUUGAGUAUGUUUGAGGCAGGCGGAAUGCGUGGUGUAGCGGUGAAAUGCAUAGAUAUCACGCAGAACCCCGAUUGCGAAGGCAGCCUGCCAAGCCAUUACUGACGCUGAUGCACGAAAGCGUGGGGAUCAAACAGGAUUAGAUACCCUGGUAGUCCACGCAGUAAACGAUGAUCACUAGCUGUUUGCGAUACACUGUAAGCGGCACAGCGAAAGCGUUAAGUGAUCCACCUGGGGAGUACGCCGGCAACGGUGAAACUCAAAGGAAUUGACGGGGGCC
rnacentral:rRNA from 1 species